ACACCCUCAAGCUCUGCUUGGUGUUGGGCGUCUGUCCCCGCCUUCGCGCGCGGACUCGCCUCAAAGCGAUUGGCGGCUGGUACCACGGCCUGGAGUGCAGCAGAAUUGCGCUCCUUGUCUCAGGGUCUAGCUCCCAUAAGCGAACUUUUUUCACUU
rnacentral:misc_RNA from 1 species